AGGUCCAGCCUGCCCAGUGACAUAGUUAAACGGCCGCGGUAUUCUGACCGUGCGAAGGUAGCAUAAUCACUUGUUCUUUAAAUGAGGACUAGUAUCAACGGCAUCACGAGGGUUAUACUGUCUCCUCUUUCCAAUCAGUGAAACUGAUUUCCCCGUGAAGAAGCGGGGAUAAGUCUAUAAGACGAGAAGACCCCAUGGAGCUUUAAACUUAACAUGUUUGUUAGUUUUAGGUUGGGGUGACCGCGGAGCAAAACUAAACCUCCUCCUAAUCUAAGAGCCACCGCUCUAAGAAUCAAUAGCUUGACAUAAAUGAUCCCAACGGACCAAGUUACCCUGGGGAUAACAGCGCAAUCCAUUUCAAGAGCCCCUAUCGACAAAUGGGUUUACGACCUCGAUGUUGGAUCAGGUAUCCCAGUGGUGCAGCCGCUACUAAGGUUUGUUUGUUCACAUGAGU
rnacentral:rRNA from 1 species